UGCGCUACGAGGUAAGGCUGGCCAGCCGCCUUGGCCCCGAGUCAUGGCCGCGACGGGUAACCGGAGUGGGCAAGCGUUGACAGGGGUUGUUGUGGGCCAGGUAUUGAGCUCCGAAAAUUCUCGCCCUUGGGGUGCCGACGGUAUGCCCGUUCACGGAAGGCAACACUGGCCGAGGCGCAAAUGGCAAGUCCCGGCCGGGCCCCACGGAGUCAUAGACC
rnacentral:ncRNA from 1 species